GCCUACAGCCAUAUCACCCUGUCCAGUCUCGUCUGGCCUCGGAAGCUAAGUAGGGUGGGUCCUGGUUAGUACUUGGAUGGGAGGCCGCCCAGGAAUGUUGGGUGCUGUAGGCU
ensembl:rRNA 5S_rRNA 5S ribosomal RNA